CAGUCGCCACGGUAAUACGUAGGUGGCAAGCGUUGUCCGGAAUUAUUGGGCGUAAAGCGCGCGCAGGCGGAUAGGUCAGUCUGUCUUAAAAGUUCGGGGCUUAACCCCGUGAUGGGAUGGAAACUGCCAAUCUAGAGUAUCGGAGAGGAAAGUGGAAUUCCUAGUGUAGCGGUGAAAUGCGUAGAUAUUAGGAAGAACACCAGUGGCGAUGGCGACUUUCUGGACGAAAACUGACGCUGAGGCGCUAAAGCCAGGGGAGCGAACGGGAUUAGAUACCCGUGUAGUCCCUGUCUCUUAUACA
rnacentral:rRNA from 1 species